GCCGUUACAACCUUAGCAUGCCUCACUUGUCCUGUGCUUCGUGUGGAUAUUCACGAGAGGCGUCUUUGCCAGAACUUCAAAAGAGUGGUUACUGGCCUGGUAACAUCCCUGCAAGUGCACUGUUCACAACAGAUGUGCUUGUCUCAUUUCAAGAGAUGAAAAUGGCAUCACCAGGGAUGUCUUUUCAAGCAUUUGUUAAAAUGUUUGAUGAGAAAACAAUUCUCUUUGGUAGAAGUGGAAAAAUAUCGGCCAUUGCCUUCAGCUGCAGUUUCAAUGAAUGGGUUGCAGCAAGAUAUGCAGUGGAAAAGAUGUGUCAGGAGGAGUUUUUCACUUGUCUAGCAUGCACUCCGGACAUGUUAGCUGUAUCUGUUGAUGGCAAUCGCAAACACUAUCGCUUUAAAAACAAAGCAAGCACAGAGAAAAGGGCAUUACUUGACCAACUUUUUAUACAGAGUGAUGUGGAUGUGUACUGAUCACGUAAGUAUUAUGAUUGGCAAAUAUUACUGUUUAACUUGAUUUCACAGCUUUUCGCAAAUAAUUUUACACAUUUCUUGAAGUAAAAUGUAUUUCUUAGAAAAAAAUUUAACAGACCCAGAAGAUAUCGAUAUGAUGCCCUCUGACAACAUAUGUAUGUUUUGACUACUUAAGAUGUUUGUGUUCAUUGUUUUGAAAUUAGCUAGGAUUGAAGCAUUUGGAGAUUGUGUAGUUUAAGAACAUAAUAUAACAGUAAACAGUUAAUAUGUACAACACAUGGUGGGAUAGAUUUGGUUGUUUGAAGCAUUAAUAAUUUUUUGAGAAAUCUAUAAACUUAUCUUAAUGUUCUGUAAAUAUUUCAUCUUUUUUGUUGAUCAGGUGUAAAGUUAUGUCACAUUUAGAGUGGUCUACAGUAUUUAGCAGUGUAUCUUUUGAGCUUUUAAAAAAUGUGUGUAAUUUAUAUGAUCCAGGUGUCGGGAAGAGGAUUAUGUGGUGCAUCACACUGGACAGCAGCAAAAGAACUGGCCAAGAAAUCAAGCAGCAAACUGGAUGAGGAGGGAUUAGAGAUCGCUGUCUGUCGCCAUGGCGUUCUCCUUAUGGCCUUAAAUAUGUUUCGAGGGGAAAUUUUUGCUUACCCACUUUUUCUUGCAGACAUGUCACAGGGGAGCAUCAAAUUCUUCUGUUCAGAUGUAGCCUGUAUUUCCAAGCACUUCCCCGAGCUGCAGUCUUUACUGGACAUGCAUCCUUUUCUGUCAGUGAUGCAUGCCAAAGCACACUAUUGGAAAUGUGAGGUCAAGUAUAGUGGGGCCUACCAGGAAGGAGCUGGGUCAACUAUUGGUGAGGAAGUGGAGCAGGCGAACAGCUUCCUAUCUAGAAUUGCUGUUACAAGCAAAUACAUGUCAAAAUCAGGUAUGUUGAAUAAGGUAUGAUUUUAUGCAGAAUGCCUUUUGUUAUGUACACAUGUCUCAUUACAUGUUCUACUAUUUCUGUUAUAGGCCGAGCAGACAUGAUUACAAUGCAAGCCAUGUUGUGGAUUAAGCGGAAGAUUCUCAAUUUGGGACAAGCUCUGGUUAACAGAUAUGUAAAGGUAUUACUUUCUUAUCAGUCAAAUAUUGCAGUUGGGAUUUGUAGGUUUUACUACUUGAUACAUAUAUAUUAGUGCUCUAAUAUAAUUAAAUAUUUUUAAGAAAAAAUAUACGUUUGAACAUAAUGCACAAGUGCAGUUAAACCUGAAUCUGACAUUCUUUAUCUAAAUGAUGUAAUUUUGUCCCAUAAUUUACCGUUUUAAAGGACGAGAUAUAGCAGUGGCUGGCGCGGGAUGCUAGAGUGGUGGGGGAUGGGGGUGGGGGAUGGGGUGGUUUGCUUUAUCUUCUUCUUUGGAAUUUUCGGUGUAUUGCGCACCACAUAACGCCGCCAACUGUUUAUAUGUAUGUAUUUAACUGUUUAUGUAUGAUACAAAGUUAGUACCGUCCCAAGCUUGUGUAUUCCUUUAUUCCUUUGCUUUAUUUAUUUAUUUAUUUAUUCCAAACAUCCAAUUUCUCUUAUUUUUUUCUUUAUCCUUACCUUUUAAGUUCUUUAUCAUUUUAAUUAUUAUUACAUGUUCAACGGUCCUGCAAUAUGUUUACCUAUUUGGUAUAUACGGUUUCAACGGCAUCAACAUAAACAAACAUUAAUGCGCGUGAGCGCUUUUGUGGACCUAACUUAACUUCCGGUAGACUCCAAAUAGAAUCAAUAACAACAGCCAAGUCCCUCUAGAGUAGAAAUUUUUUGAUAACAAACAAAAUGUGUUUUCUGUGUGGAUCAGGCGGACUUAAUGAAAAUGCUAAUUCAUUCUUUGCCAGCAGGAGAUGUUUUAAAGCAUAGACAUAAAGCGCGAGAAAUAGAGGUUUCCCCAGUAACAGCUGUAAACAAAGCAGAGCUACGCUCAUACGCUGCUAUCAGGCAUAUAACAUGCAAAUCUUCUUUCAGAAAUACAGCGAUAUAAAAACACCCGUGCCUCGUUUUGAUAUUUAAACAUAAAUGUAAGGAAUUAUUAUUAAACGUGUGGUAUGUUACGUAAUGUUACGUUACUCAUGUUUAUUUAACGAAGCCUUUUUGAAAAUCGAUCAGUUUUAAAAUUGUGGCGAGUCUCCAAAAAUAAAUAAAUGUAUGGGAAACACAUCCCGCAGCACAACCACCUGAGCCCAACUUCAGUCUACUCAUCACCUUGGCUUUAACUGCGUUUGUAGAUGGCACCGCAGCCAGACCGAUAUACACAACACAGACCGGAAGUUAACUUAGGUCCAGGCGCGUGCGCCCGAUGAAACCGUCUAUAGUGAUGCAUUUAGUCCUGCGUGCCCAAAUGAUAAUCUAUUUAAAAUCACCUCAUCUUUCCUAUAUCUUCCAAAAUGUUAUAUAUUUUUUUAAACUGAUGAAUUAGAACCCAGAGCCUUAGAAAUUAGAGCCUCUCCUUGAACUGUCACCUUAUCGUGGUGGAGAGGUUUGAGUACCCGAAUGAUCCUGGGAGCUAUGUUGUCUGGGGCUAUAUGCUCCUGGUAGGGUCUCCCAAGGCAAACAGGUCCUUGGUGACGGGCCAGACUAAG
rnacentral:lncRNA from 1 species